UGCUCUUCAUCGAUAGAGUUUUUCUGGAAGUGAAUGACAUCAUUGUAAUCCCGUAAAGAAGAGCAAUGCCGCCGACAAAGCGAAGAUGGAGGAACUUAGUGAUAGAGUAGAUCGGAUUUAACAUGGUGGUGAAAGUGGACUACGUUUUGCAAUUAGGAACUACAAUUUCAGGCUAAGUUUCGAAGCAAUAACGUGUGUACCAUUAGAUUCCCUAUGCAGGGUUCGUUUGUGCGUUCUACUGGGCCUAUUGCCAUGAUAUUUGAGGUCAUCGACAGGUGAUUGUCUCUGAGCCCGCUGUAAUCAGAUUUUGAAAAAAAUACCCAGGUUUUUUCAUAUAACAGUAGAUCAGGAAGCUUAGAAAGGGGGGCAAAAUUGAAAGAAGCGGGAAAUGUUGAAUCUGGUCGGUCAGUUGGGUGAAGUAGACAGAGCAGAGAGGAGAAUUUCAUGAGCCGCCGUCCGCAGCGCGCAUGACAGCACGACCCGCCUUUCAUUAUUACACUUAUUCUAAUGUAAUGUUAAAAGUCGGAAAUUUAAAAAGAAAAUUAAAAAAAAAGUAAUUUAUCACGGAGUUGUCUAUUUAACAGAAGUCGCUAAUUCAUUGAACCGCUAAGCCAGUAUAAAUCGCUUAUUUGGCUGAUGAAAAUGAGUUUUGGGACUUAUUUGGAUCAAUAAUCAUGAUUCGGAGUUUAUUUAGUCUUAAGCAAGUUUUAGGACCAUCAAUCGACCUCGGAAUAGCGUGUUCCGCAGUCGAGCAUCCUAUCCGCUCAGCUACCGAGGUUCGUUACAAGCUGAGCUGAGGUGAAUUAGCGAUGCCAGGAGCGCGCCGCGGCAGCGUGCUGCCAGCGCAAAACGCGCACUGACGCGUACAAACCUACAGGGCUACUUCACGCAUUGUGCAAUGCUUGAAGUAUCCCCUUAGAUUUGUAAGGGGCUAUUUCACGCAUUGCGCAAUGCUUGAAGUAUCCCCUUAGGUUUGUAGGCGCCAAUGCGCGUUUCAAGCUGGCACCACGCCGCGACGCAGCGUGCCAUAAACUUGCCCACAUUUAAUAGGUCAGGGUGUUUGAAUCUCGGCAAUUUGGCAUCAAAUUCGAAAUCAGCAACUCAGAAAUCAUCAGUGUCGAAACCUUCGUGAUUUUUCAGUCAUAAACCGACUUAUUUUUUCCUAUUUUUGAGUUCUGGACCAUAGUGCGCCGCGGACAGCGGCUCAUAAAAUUCUCCCCUGUGCUCAAUCGGGGUAAAGUCAGUCAAUCGAAGGUACGCUCCUUUACUAUAUAGACUAUAUAUAUCCGAAAGUGAAGAAAGGCUCCGUUCCGUUCGUUCCAUUUCAUUUAAGUCUUGGCGUGAAGUUUGAAAUAAAUGACGAUUUUUUUCUUUCGAAUCUUAUUGGUCCAAUUGCUCCCGGCCAUAGGAAGAUUGGACAAAUGAGAGUCGGGUAUGAAAAUCUUUUCAUUUUUUUGGUCGUUCUUUUGUCGGACCGGGCCUAAGAGAGCUCAAAGCGCCCUCUGGGGGUUUGGCCGUGUAGCGGCCACGGAUCAUAGCCCCCUAGUAUCUUUCUGAUGAUUUAAGUCAACGGGAUAAACCCGUAAACUUUAUUUCAAUCCUGUGCCAUAAUCUCUCAUUCCUCACCUUUACUUUAAAUGAGCGUGAUACGGAUAAGGGGGAACGAUCCACUACACCUUUUCAAUUUUCCAAUUUUAACAUGUUUUCCAGAAUAAAAAAAUUGAUAAUGCCUA